GGGCUAAUAGCAUAAAUAUUAUUGCAUUGAAUUGCAGAUUCAAAGGUGUAAAAACUUAGCCCU
rnacentral:tRNA from 1 species